rnacentral:lncRNA from 1 species
UUUGGAAAUUAAAAACUUGUCAACUCUUGCUGGCAUAAUGCUUAUUAGAGGGACCAUGGGCUAUCAUUUUCUUUCUUUUCUCUUUUUUUCACGUGGAUACCGAGGUACCCCUAAUUCUACUAUCGGACACUUGUCCAUUUUUUUCUGCGAGGUUGUCGAGCACUUGCUCCUUUUUAUUUCCUCGAAAUAUAUUUUUGCAUAGC